rnacentral:rRNA from 1 species
AUUGAACGCUGGCGGAAUGCUUUACACAUGCAAGUCGAACGGCAGCACGGGAGCUUGCUCCUGGUGGCGAGUGGCGAACGGGUGAGUAACAUAUCGGAACGUACCCCGUCGUGGGGGGAUAACUCUCCGAAGGAGUGCUAAUACCGCAUACGACCUGAGGGUGAAAGCGGGGGACCUGCAAGGGCCUCGCGCGAUGGGAGCGGCCGAUAUCGGAUUAGCUAGUUGGUGAGGUAAAGGCUCACCAAGGCGACGAUCCGUAGCGGGUCUGAGAGGACGACCCGCCACACUGGAACUGAGACACGGUCCAGGCUCCUACGGGAGGCAGCAGUGGGGAAUUUUGGACAAUGGGGGGCAACCCUGGUCCAGCCAUGCCGCGUGAGUGAAGAAGGCC